CAGAUUAGCAAACAAACACAAGUUCGCAUAUUACUAUAGACUCGCACAAAAACAUAAGUUUACAAUAUCCGACAAUUCGCAUGCAAAGAAAUCAAACUUUAGGAACACUAUAGCUCACUAAACACCUAAAUUACACAUACAUCCUAGUUUCACCAAGUGACAAGCUUCACAAACCAAAUAAACAUGCAUGUAGAAGAUUAUCCCAUUUAAGCAUAGUUUGCAUAAAAACAUGAGUUCGCAAAGCUAAAGGUAUGCUUGUAAUUAUGCUAAACAUACCUAGGGUUUUGUAUGUAAUAAAACUAACAUAAUAGGGGUACGCAAGUAAACAUAGUUUGUAAUAACCAAUGGCUCGCAUGUAAAUAAUAAAAUACUUACAGGAGUAUGUAAGUAAUUUAUACAAGGAUUGCAAUCAACAAACUAGACAUGCAUGAAUAACAUUGAUUUAUUAAUUAAGAAACAAAAGGCAAAAUCCAUAACAUGGUUUGUAGAACUAGAGUAAACUUAAUGACAUGGUAUAGUGUACUUUUAUACUUAAGAAAAUUAUUCGAUAAUCAAUUUAAUAUUGUAACUGUUUUUUAAAACAACAUAGCAUAAACCCGUCGCCCAAAUCUAUGGUUCGCCCAUAUCAGUCAGGUGCCUUGCCAAAUUAUCGACCUCGCCUAUGUCAUCCGCGAUCUACUUACCUGAGAAGUAAUAGAGGAAUGGGUGAGUUUGGGGAGAACUCAGUGAAUAAUCAGAAACCAUUAGGUUAUGCUUCAAAAUAAUAUUUGCAAAUAGUAGAAAACUUAGUUUGAAAAUAUUUUGCGUGUUGUGUUCACAGGUGAGGAUGCGAGACCCAGUUCAUAUCUAAAAAACAUAUUUUCCUGAAAAUAGUUUAAAAACAAUGCAUACAAAUUUCUUAAAAACUUUCUUUAAAAAAAUGGGGCUUGCAUUAAACUUGCGAGGCCAUAUUUCUUUCAAAAAUAUUUAACAACCUGAGAUUGGGUUCGACUUUGGUCGUGAAACCAACGCGUACAUGAUUUUCAGAAAACUUUCCUUUGAAUAGGGUCUGGCUUAAGUCGCAAGACCAGUUCACACUUACGAACAGAGUCGACCUUAGGUCGCACGAUAGGUUCCUCAAUCAAAGUUUUUGUCUCAUUGAGUAUAUAAUACCCAAUCGAACUUACAGAGGGGCACACACUUUGAGACAUAUCACAUUAGCUCAUAUACAGAGCUAGGCUCACUGAGUAGCAAACUUUGUCUCGUUGAAUAUAUAAUUACCCAAUCGAACUUACAAAGGAGCACACACUUUGAGACAUAACAUGGGUGAGUACUCACACUAUUAGUAUACCAAUCAUAAGGCUCACUAAGGAGCUCACAGAAUAGAAGCUCGCACUAAGGCAAAGCUAAACAGAGACCUCACACAAAGCAGAGCUUAAAACAUUUGCUUAUAAAAAUCUCGCAUGUUAAGUACCUUUUAAAAACGCAGUUUAGAACCGUUCUUUCAAAAAAUUCUUAUAAUCAAAGGCUCGCAUAGGAGCUUGCAUAAAAUUUUACUUUAAAAAACAUCUUUUCAAAAUGAAAACUAUAGCCAUUAGCAAACAUAAUUAGAGUACCUUUUAAAACCCAUAAGCUAACGGUUACCAUUCACUCACCGGAAAUGGAGAACUUAAAUGAUUUUGGCUUUGCCUUUAUCUUUGCUAGAAGACGGUCCGGCUGGUUCACAACAAAUAAAUAUAUUACUAGAAAAACAUUCAGAAUUCACACAUGUAUACAAACUUAGCUCUAAGGACGAUCAAUCCUAACAAGACAAGGACUUACCCGGAUUGCUACGAACAAAAUUUUAGAAUAGAGACUUGACAACAGAAUAUUCAGUAAAGAUUGCCAUCGAAUUAAUGGGCUUAUUUAUAGACCUAAGAGUUCUAAAUAUCGUUGUACACUUUACCUAAUUUAGGAAAGACAUUACUUGCACGUAAAGUAUUCUUAGAUACGCUAAAUCACUUUUUCCUAAUUUGAGUCUGACUAUAUCGUUGACCAGUGAACCCAGUGCAUACUUUGAAUGGUGAACCCCAGCUUGCCAAAAGGACUGGUGAACCCUUAGCUCGCUAACACAUUAAUGAACCUAUCGCAUAGUAAAACUAAUGAACCCCUUAC
rnacentral:lncRNA from 1 species